AUGACCAAUGGAGGCAUUGCUGCUGGAGGUGUCAUGGCCAUUAACACUACUUUAUAAGAGGUGCGGAAGACUGCCCUCACUCAUCAUGGCCUAGCAUGUGCAAUUUGUGAAGCUGCCAAAGCGUUAGACAAGCACCAAGCCCACUUUUGUCUGCCUGCACCCAACUGCAAUGAGCCUAUGUAUGUCAAGUUGGUGGAGUCCCAUGGUGCUGAACACCAACUCACCCUAAUUAAGGUUGAUGACAACAAGAAACCAGAGGAAUGGGUAGGCCUCUGUAAAACUGAGAGGGAAACCCCCGAAAAGUGGUUGGCUGCAGUUGUGCAGUAGUUAAGGACUAGGUCAAAGAAUCUUAAGUCAAGGAUGUCAUCGAAGAGUAUUUCAAAUGUAAGAAAUGA
rnacentral:lncRNA from 1 species